rnacentral:lncRNA from 1 species
ACUGACUCCGGUCUUCUUCAGACUUCCGUUCUUCUUCGCCUCUUCGUCAAGUUCUGCAACAGGUUUGUUCCUUUUCUUUUUUUUUAAUAGUAAUGAAACGACGUCGUUUCAUUAAUAAUAAAAAAUAAUAUUUUUUUAUUAGGUAUUUAGGACUCUCUUCAGUCUCUACCUCUCUUCCGUUAUCACUCUUCCGCCUCGGCAGUCGGUGCCUCCAGCCUCCACUCUCCCUUUUUCUUGCAUUCAGCUCUCCUGUCCGACUGGGAUACAAAGGUAAGUAAUCUAUCUCACUUUUUAAUCUUGUAUUUGAUUAUGGUGAUUUGUGACUUGUGAGUUUAUGCUACUGUCAUUGGAUAAGCAAAUUGGGAAUUUGGGAUUGCAAAACCCAUUAGCUUUUUCUCCAUUGAUAUUGGUUAUUUCUGAAACUGUAUUAGAUAUUCAUAUCCAGUUAAUUGGGAAAUGGGUAUGGGUUUCUUUUAUUUAAUUUUUUCUUUAAUUUAGGCUUGUUUUAAUUUUUUCAAUUAUUUUAAAUUAAUUUUUCUUUUCUUUUAUCUUUGUUUGGC